rnacentral:rRNA from 1 species
GCUAUACAUGCAAGUCGAGCGGACAGAAGGGAGCUUGCUCCCGGAUGUUAGCGGCGGACGGGUGAGUAACACGUGGGUAACCUGCCUGUAAGACUGGGAUAACUCCGGGAAACCGGAGCUAAUACCGGAUAGUUCCUUGAACCGCAUGGUUCAAGGAUGAAAGACGGUUUCGGCUGUCACUUACAGAUGGACCCGCGGCGCAUUAGCUAGUUGGUGGGGUAAUGGCUCACCAAGGCGACGAUGCGUAGCCGACCUGAGAGGGUGAUCGGCCACACUGGGACUGAGACACGGCCCAGACUCCUACGGGAGGCAGCAGUAGGGAAUCUUCCGCAAUGGACGAAAGUCUGACGGAGCAACGCCGCGUGAGUGAUGAAGGUUUUCGGAUCGUAAAGCUCUGUUGUUAGGGAAGAACAAGUGCGAGAGUAACUGCUCGCACCUUGACGGUACCUAACCAGAAAGCCACGGCUAACUACGUGCCAGCAGCCGCGGUAAUACGUAGGUGGCAAGCGUUGUCCGGAAUUAUUGGGCGUAAAGGGCUCGCAGGCGGUUUCUUAAGUCUGAUGUGAAAGCCCCCGGCUCAACCGGGGAGGGUCAUUUGAAACUGGGAAACUUGAGUGCCCAAGA